UUCUGCCUACUCCACAAAAUAGGCAUCGUCCGCUAAAAAUAAAGGAGGAAAAUCCGUCUGACGCACGGUGCGGCAGUGUGGAGACCUGUCGUAAUGCUCCCGCAGAUUGGUUACUAUGCGGGUAUGUGAGAACGUACGCGAAAUGGUAGGUACGUUUAGCGUCGAAAAUUUAUGGCA
rnacentral:ncRNA from 1 species